CAGCAGUCAAGAAUAUUAGUCAAUGGCCUAACGGCUGAACUGGCAACUUGGAGAAGUGGCAAGUCUUCCAGUAUGGGGAGCAAAACAGCUAUGGGUCAAGUCCGAUAUCUUUAGGAGAAGUCUUAUUGUGAGGGCGAGUUAUAUAACACCAUAGGACUGGCCGUCCCAUAUGAAAAGAUUAUAUUAGAAUUGAAUGAAGCUUUGUUUAUAUAUUGAUAAUGACAGUAUAUAUAUCGUGUCUUGACUAAUUGCGUGCCAGCAGUCGCGGUAAUACGUAAGAGACUAGUGUUAUUCAUCUUAAUUAGGUUUAAAGGGUACCCAGACGGUCAAUAUAGCUUAUAAAAUGUUAGUACUUGACUAGAGUUUUAUGUAAGAGGGCAGUACUUGAGGAGGAGAGAUGAAAUUUCGUGAUACCAAAGGGACUCUGUAAAGGCGAAGGCAGCCCUCUAUGUAAAAACUGACGUUGAAGGACGAAGGCACAGAGAACAAACAGGAUUAGAUACCCAAGUAGUCUUUGCAGUAAAUGAUGAAUGCCAUAGGUUAGAUUGAUCAAUUAUAGUCUAGGGUUAGUCUAGCAAACUAAUGCCCUAUGAUAUAAUUCAAAAUAUCUGGUCUAUAAAUGAAAGUGUAAGCAUUUCACCUCAAGAGUAAUGUGGCAACGCAGGAACUGAAAUCACUAGACCGUUUCUGACACCAGUAGUGAAGUAUGUUAUUUAAUUCGAUAAUCCGC
rnacentral:rRNA from 1 species